rnacentral:rRNA from 1 species
GAUGAACGCUAGCUACAGGCUUAACACAUGCAAGUCGAGGGGUAACAAGAGAAAAGCUUGCUUUUCUUGUUGACGACCGGCGCACGGGUGAGUAACGCGUAUCCAACCUGCCUAUAACUAGGGAAUAACCUUGCGAAAGUAAGACUAAUACCCUAUGAUUUCCUUUGAUGACAUCAGAUUAGGAAUAAAGAUUUAUCGGUUAUAGAUGGGGAUGCGUCUGAUUAGCUUGUUGGCGGGGUAACGGCCCACCAAGGCAACGAUCAGUAGGGGUUCUGAGAGGAAGGUCCCCCACAUUGGAACUGAGACACGGUCCAAACUCCUACGGGAGGCAGCAGUGAGGAAUAUUGGUCAAUGGGCGGAAGCCUGAACCAGCCAAGUAGCGUACAGGAUGACGGCCCUAUGGGUUGUAAACUGCCUUUAUACAGGAAUAAAGUUAGCCACGUGUGGUUAUUUGUAGGUACUGUAUGAAUAAGGACCGGCUAAUUCCGUGCCAGCAGCCGCAGUAA